GGAGCUGGGGACCUUAGCCAGUACCUGAGGCCUGGGUGACAAGGUUCAGCUUCCUCGGGAGGGCCAGGCAUUUAGCCCCAGUGAAGAAUUCGCAAGCACCUCAGGACACUGAAACAAACCCUUCCCUUAGGACUUGGACUCAGGCCACAGCUGUUGAGAGAUCUCACAGAGGGAGCCAUAGGGAUGAGCCAGCUAACUCUAGUCCCUACUGCUGGUGAGUCAGAACCAGCAGAGAAGCUGGGAGGCACUGGGCAGUAGAGGGGGGCAGACCAGGCCUGGGGGCAGCAGUUUGACCCCUGUGGCAGGUAAGUUCACAAGCAGCUUAUUCUGAGAUGGAGGUGAUGCUUUUCCUGGGCUUUAUGAAGCAGGGAAGGAUGUUGGAAAGAGCACUGUGAAGGGAGCUCGGAAUCCAGGACUUCAUUCUGGCUACUCCAUUAAUUCCCAUUCUGGCUCUAGGCAAGUCACUUGGCUCUCUGCGCCUGUUUCUCCUGAAGUUGAAGAGGCUGGACUGCUUGACUGAGCUCUCUUGGAGUUCUGGUGUUCUGAGGCACUAUCCGGCCCAUGGGAUCUCAGCAAUCGAAGCAACACAGGAAGCCUGGGCCCCUGAAACGGGGCCACCGAGGAGAUCGGAGAACAACCAGG